AUUGAACUCUGGCGGCAGGCCUAACACAUGCAAGUCGAGCGGAGCGGCGGACGGGUGAGGAAUGCCUAGGAAUCUGCCUGGUAGUGGGGGCUAACGUCCGGAAACGGGCGCUAAUACCGCAUACUAUCAGAUGAGCCUAGGGCGGAUAAGCUAGUUGGUGGGUGAAAGGACUACCAGGGCGACGAUCAGUAACUGGUCUGAGAGGAUGAUCAGUCACACUGGAACUGAGACACGGUCCAGACUCCUACGGGAGGCAGCAGUGGGGAAUAUUGCACAAUGGGCUAAAGCCUGAUGCAGCCAUGCCGCGUGUAUGAAGAAGGCCUUAGGGUUGUAAAGUACUUUCAGCGGGGAGGCGUUACCCGCAGAAGAAGCACCGGCUAACUCCGUGCCAGCAGCCGCGGUAAUUC
rnacentral:rRNA from 1 species